rnacentral:rRNA from 1 species
AAUGAACGCUGGCGGCGUGCUUAACACAUGCAAGUCGCACGAGAACGCUUUAGCUUGCUAAAGCAAGUAAAGUGGCGCACGGGUGAGUAACGCGUGGAUAAUCUACCUCUAUCUGGGGGAUAACCCAUCGAAAGGUGGGCUAAUACCGCAUAAUCCGGCUGAUUUUUGGAUUGGCCGGCAAAGGUGGCCUCUUGAUCAAAGCUACCGGGUUGAGAUGAGUCCGCGUCCCAUUAGCUUGUUGGUAGGGUAACGGCCUACCAAGGCGACGAUGGGUAGCUGGUCUGAGAGGACGAUCAGCCACACUGGAACUGGUACACGGUCCAGACUCCUACGGGAGGCAG